GAGGCUUCCCGGGUCUCCUUCCUCUCCCAGGAAGGCGGGAGGAGGCGCUUCGGCCCAGGUCUCUCGCUUCUUCCCGGAUCGAGAUGCAGGAGUGGAUUCAGGCGGCCGGAUUAAGCUGCCAGUUGUGAAAGAAGUUUCUCAAAACUUAAAUUAAUCGAAACGUAUCAGAGAUCUACAGUGAGCCAAGAAGCCAAGAGCCACACAACGGGGAGGAGGGCAUCAGCAGAAAUGAAAUUUAUCCCUGAAGGUGCCUUUGAGUUUCCCUGCAGGGAAUAGCAUUUAAUUUGACAGUUAUGAGACACGUGCAGCAGGCAGUUGAGUGGGGGGGGGGGAGGGAGGAAGCCUCCAUGAAAAGCUGCCCCACGCCACCAGUCUGCCCCAAGGGAUGUCCUGGAACAAUCCCUCUCUCUCUGCACAAGAACUUUGAAUAAUAGAAUCUUUAGAGUGGGAAGGGACCCAAGGGUCAUCUAGUCCAACCCCCUGCAAUGCCAAAAGAAAGUAUUUGGCCUUGGGUCCUUUGCACCCUGACUCAUGUGUGGGUGUGUUGGGGUUAGGGGCAAUCGGAAGCAUAGAAUUGUAGCAUUGGAAGGAACCCCAAGGGUCAUCCCGUCGGGGGUGCUGGGUAGCUGGG